AGGAGGAACAACCAGUGGCGGCAGCCAGCUCUGGAGCCUUGGAUUCAGCUCCCGCAGGAGCUCCGGUGCUCUCCGUCUGCAGGGCCUGGAGGCUCCGGGGCGGG
rfam:Canis lupus familiaris chromosome 1, whole genome shotgun sequence.